rnacentral:rRNA from 1 species
AACGUCAUCUUCCGGAUCCUGGCUAAAGGAUACGCCAAUAGGGUGACCCUGCUAGCUGACCGUGUCACGCUCCCCAACCAGUCGACUUUCAUUAAGGGCCGGUACAUCCUGGAUGGGGUCCUAGUCCUUCAUGAAGUCCUCCAUGAGGUCCGCUCCAAAAACCUCAAGGCGGUUUUUCUGAAGAUUGACUUCCAUAAGGCUUACGACACGGUUAGCUGGCCCUUCCUUAGGGAGGUUCUUCUUCGGAAGGGUUUUGACGACCGGUGGAUAACUCGUGUCAUGCAAAUGGUUACUUGUGGUCAUACGGCCGUGAACAUAAACGGUGAGAUCGGCCCUUUCUUCCCCACCCUAUGUGGGGUCAGACAAGGCGACCCUUUUCCCCGUUCUUGUUCAAUAUGGUCGUGGACGCGC